rnacentral:tRNA from 1 species
GCUUGACUAGCUCAGUUGGUAGAGUGCAAUACUUUUAUCCUUAUGGUCUUGGGUUCAAAUCCCAUGGUGGGUG